rnacentral:rRNA from 1 species
AUUGAACGCUGGCGGCAGGCCUAACACAUGCAAGUCGAGCGGAUGAAGGGAGCUUGCUCCUGGAUUCAGCGGCGGACGGGUGAGUAAUGCCUAGGAAUCUGCCUGGUCGUGGGGGAUAACGUCCGGAAACGGGCGCUAAUACCGCAUACGUCCUGAGGGUGAAAGUGGGGGAUCUUCGGACCUCACGCUAUCAGAUGAGCCUAGGUCGGAUUAGCUAGUUGGUGGGGUAAAGGCCUACCAAGGCGACGAUCCGUAACUGGUCUGAGAGGAUGAUCAGUCACACUGGAACUGAGACACGGUCCAGACUCCUACGGGAGGCAGCAGUGGGGAAUAUUGGACAAUGGGCGAAAGCCUGAUCCAGCCAUGCCGCGUGUGUGAAGAAGGUCUUCGGAUUGUAAAGCACUUUAAGUUGGGAGGAAGGGCAGUAAGUUAAUACCUUGCUGUUUUGACGGUACCAAAAGAAUAAGCACCGGCUAACUUCGUG